GAGAAAAGGAAAGUAAUUUCAUCUCCAUUCCUUUUCCAUCAAUUGUUUUCCGCUUAUUCCAUCUAUCUUCCUCAUAAAGGUGAUUAAGGGUGAAGGCAUACGAAUUAAGAGAAAGAAAUUAGGGGAUCAUCUCAAUCAAAGGGCAAGGAGAAAGCUUGAAGGUGAGGAAGGAGGAGGAGCUUCGAAUGAUUAGAGUGACUCGCAAGGGAGCACCUAAUCGUGAUUAUUCUUGGUGACUCGUACGAAAGCCCCGAAGGAUUAUAGUGACUAACACGGGAGCACCUAAUCAUAAUUUUUUCGGGUGACUUGCACGGGAGCACCUAAUCGUAAUUAUUUCGGUUGACUCGCACUGGAGCUCCGAAGGAUUAGAGUGACUCACAAGGGAGCAUAUUAUUGUAUUUGCUACCAGCAAACUCGUACGGGAGCCCUGAAGUGAUCCAAGUGCCUUACAUGGGGAUUGUAGAGGUAGAUUGUCACCAUCAUCGUGCAAUCCCCAAGAAGACCACGUGAAUUCUACUUUGUGAUUUUUUUUCUUCAUAUGAAAUAAUCGUACUAAAAGAAAAUUUAUUGGG